rnacentral:rRNA from 1 species
UACGCAGGGGGCAAGCGUUGUCCGGAUUUAUUGGGCGUAAAGAGCGUGUAGGCGGCCAUACAGGUCAGCUGUGAAAACUCGAGGCUCAACCUCGAGACGUCGGUUGAAACCGUAUGGCUAGAGUCCGGAAGAGGAGAGUGGAAUUCCCGGUGUAGCGGUGAAAUGCGCAGAUAUCGGGAAGAACACCUAUGGCGAAGGCAGCUCUCUGGGACGGUACUGACGCUGAGGAGCGAAAGCGUGGGGAGCGAACAGG